GCAAAACUCUGUUGAUGUGUGCACUCAACUACUUUCUUCCAGUCUGGCUUAUCUUUUGAUCUCAUUUAUGGUGUAUUUGGUUGGUCAAACAACUGUUUUAGUACAAAUUUAGCAAUGUUUUGCACUUAUGAUUUUGACUCUGUCUUUAAAAAAAAUACCACUUUCUACUAUUAAGCUUUAUAUGUAAAAUGUAUCUGUAUUAUUUCAUGUCUAAUCAACUGAAAAUUGAGGUUCGAAUAUGUUUUUCCCAUAGAAACAACCAGUCGUGCAAACUAUCUUUGAUGAAUUAUCAAAGUUCAAUUUGUUUCCACGUGAGCAGAUCUGCUGCUGGGCCACCUUGUCCCAUCUGAUUCAUCUGUCUAUAGCUGCACCAUCAACAAACUAAAUCUUCACAGCUGAUAGGCAAGACCUGCACUUCAGUCAUCAAAAUUGUCUUGGCUACUCCAGGCCCUACAUUAGACUCUAUCUUAUCAUGACCAAUUCUAUUAUAAUUCUGGGCUG
rnacentral:lncRNA from 1 species